ACACACGUAAACACAAAGAGAAACGAGUGCAUUGUGAACAAAUUUUUUCAACGAAUUUCCAAAUGUCUACAAAACAAAUCUAACAACAAAAAACAAAACCAAAAAAAGACCAUAAGAAAUUUUGAAAUUUGCUCUGUGAUUUUCUAUCAGAAUGGUUUAAACAAAAUAAUCCACAUAAUAAUUAAAAAUAAUAAUAUUUAAAUAUUUAUAAAUAUUUGCUAACAAACAAAAGAAAAAACAAGCUUUAAAUUCAAGUAACAAACAUUUCUAUAAAUAUUACAAAGCCCCAAAGCAACCAACAAGCAACCGAAGGUUUAUUGAUACUUAAAGCUAAUUAGUGCAACUAAAGUUAGUUUAAAACUGUGCAACUGUGAGGCAGAUCAUUACCCCACUACAACACGCAGUAGGAUCAAUCAUCGAGCAGCCAUGGACGACAUGCCGGAUCUUUCGCAUUUGACACCACACGAGCGCAUGCAGAUCGAGAAUGUGCUCAUGCGGCAGAAGCAGGAGGAGGAGGCACAGAAUGAGAUAAUGCGACGCAAACAGGAUGAGGUUGUCACAUUGGAAAUGCAAAUACGACAACGCUCGGAGCAGCAAAAGAAGGCCGGCGUCGAACUGGAUGCCACCUGUCACAUAUGCCUUAAGACCAAAUUUGCCGAUGGCGUUGGACACAUUUGCCACUACUGCAACAUACGCUGCUGUGCACGUUGCGGUGGCAAGGUGACAUUACGCAGCAACAAGGUGAUUUGGGUGUGUAUACUCUGCCGCAAGAAGCAGGAGCUGCUCUCGAAGACGGGCCAAUGGAUCAACAAAACGGGAGGCCAGCAGGAUGGUUUCAUACGCCGCAUUGAGCCCGAUGGCAGCAGCGACAUCUCCCAGCAGGCCAUUGUGGAUCCGCAUGACACUACGGACAAGCGGCCCAAGCUGGAACGUACGCGCAGUGCCGCCGAAAAGGAGAAUCUGCCCAUGCAACGUGCUGGCAGCAUGCUACGGCGGCAAUACUCGCAGCAGGAGCAGCCCACGAAUCGCCGUUUGUCCGUCUCGGACAGUGGCAUGGAUCCCAUGAUGAGUCCUGGUCAGCAGCAGCAGCAUCCGCAGCAGCAGCGUGGUCGCAUGCAGCCAAUGAAUCCGCAGCAGUCGCAGCAGGGAUACGGCGGCUAUGGCAUGCAGCAGCAGCAGCAACAGAGAUCAGGUGGAGCCUAUCCAGAGGAUGAUCCGCGUUACUAUCAGGGAGAACUGGAUGGCUUGAUGAGGCAACAUCCACAUUUGGCGCAUCCCAGUCAAGUGCAGCCGCAACAGCAGCAACAACACUCGCAGCAACAGCAGCAACAUUCGCAGCAGCAACAACACUCGCAGCAACAACAACAUCACAUGCCAACACAGCAGCAGCUACGUCAGUCACCGCAGCAACAUCCACAACAGCAGCAGCAGCAUGCACAGCAGCAACAUUCACAGCAGCAGCAGCAACAGCAGCAUGCACAGCAGCAACAUUCACAGCAGCAGCAAUUUACGUCGCGACAGCAAACGUAUCAGGCACAGAUACACACACCGCCACAAACCCACAUGCAACCGCAACAGCAGCAGCCCCAUGCCCACUCGCAGCAAAUGUCCAUGUCCCAGCAGAUGGUGGGCGGCUAUCAGAAGCCACCACCACUGACCCGCAACCUGACCAUCAGCGGUGGACAUGCCAUGGAUAGCAGCAGCUACGGCCAGCAGCAACAGCAGCAGCAGCAGCAACUCAACCAGCAGCAACAUCGUAGGCCGCAGUAUGCCUCACAGCAGCAGCGAUCCUUCAGCAGUUCGGAGGAGGAGUUUCAGAAUCAAUUGCUGCAGGCACAGGCACAGGCUGCUGGCGCUGGAGCCACUGUCAGUGCGGGCUCCGAUUACGAUGGCGGGCGUCUACAGGUGCGCACCUCACUGGAUCCCUGGCGCCAGCAGCGGAGCCUCAACGAGCGCGAUCUUUUGAGCACCAGUGCCGGCGGCACAUCCAGUGAUUACCGCCUGUUGGCCCACACCAGCCAGCGGCUGUACUCGUCGGCGGAUCAGCGCGAUCGCUACGAGCUGCAGCUGCAGCAUCGCGAGCGCGUGGAGCAGUAUCCGCUGACUAGGACCGCGCGGCUGGACGUGCAGCAGCGCAACUCGCUGAAUCGCACCAAUCACGAGCGACAGUUCGUCGGUGGAGCGACGAGUGGCGGGGUGACUGGUGCUGCUGGCGCCUACCGACGUGCCCCGCCCUUGGCCGCAACCGGCGGCGGUGGUAGCAGCAGCAGUAGCACCAGCAGCAGCUACUAUCCCCCACACAGCCAGGGCCAGUCCAAGCCACAGAUUGUGAUCGGUUCGGGUGCCUAUGAUCGAGGAGGCGCCAUGUCCGCUGACCAGGGCGGCACCGGCUCGAGAGGCAGCCUAAGCAGGGAGCGAGCGCUGUUGGGCGGCAAAGGCUUGGGCGGUGGGGGUGGCAGCAGUUCCGUCAGCUCCACGGAGGCAGCCUACUGGGAUGAGCCCGCGGGGGGCAGCACCUCAUCCUCAUCGGCGGCCCAGGAUUCGCGUCGCUUUACCGAGCGUAGAAUAAAGAAAACGGUACGCUUCGAUGCCCACGAGGAUGAGGCCUCAAUUAUGGCCGGCGGCGGAAUGAUGGGCAGCGGAUCGUUGCCUCCGGUGACCACCAUACUGCCUUCGACAGCGGUAGAUGUGGGCUCGGCCACGCUGCUGACUAGCGGCAAGAUGGGCGGCAUGGGACAGGGACCACCACCCAUGGAGGGGGCUAGUGCCGGGGACUGGGCCAGAUGGGAGGCCGAACGACAGGGCAGCCAGGAUUCGGCGACCAAGGAUUCGGGCAUUGACACGAGCAGCACAUUUACCAGCAGCGAGGACUCAAACCGCGGUGACGGGCCCAAGAAUCCGGUGAAUUGGCAAACAUCCGCGGAUAAUACUCGCUUGAUUGGGCACAUGAUAUUACGUAAAUACUAUGAUGGGGAAGAUAUAUUAGGCUUAAAGGUCAACGGCGGCCAGCCCAUUGGAGGAGGAGUAGGAGGAAUAGGAGGAGGAGUAAUAGGAGGACCAUUAGGAGGAGGUCCAUGCGGUGCUAUUGUGGAGAAGGUGAAACGCGGAUCGGUGGCCGAUCUCGAAGGCCGCAUACGACCAGGCGAUGAAAUCAUCGAGUGGAAUGGCCGUAAUUUGCACAACAAAAGCGCGGAUGAGGUCUACGAUAUACUCGACGAGAGCCGCUUGGAUGCGCAGGUGGAAUUGAUUGUCAGCCGUCUGAUCAGUGGAAGUGGCGGCAGCAGUCAGAACGUCAGUCCCAGCAGUGCCUCCAACGCCCACGCCCACGGUCACAACAACAACAGCGGAAGCAGCAGCAACCUACCGCCGGUACGCCGCUCCUCGGCCAACUUUCCGCACAGCGGCCUGGCCAGCAGCAUGGCAGGCAGUGCGGUGGUUAGCAGCGGCGGAAGAUAUCUACAGCGCAAAGCGCCCGCUGUUGAGGCCAUUGAAAUCCAUCGUGAUAAGCCGAGUGUUUUGAUAACCUCACCCGGCUCACCGGACAUUCACGUAACUGCAGCGGGCAACGGUGUACGGAGUCAACGUGGCGGUUCCUCGCAGCAUACACAGCGCCUGGGAGCAAGCCACAGCACUCACAGCCACAGCAGCAGUGGGAGUGGCAGCGUCAGCGGCAGCAGCACCACCAGCAGCGUAUACGCAGCGUCCAGCAGCAUACAGGGCGUUGCACCCGUUGCCGUCGCCUCCGUGUCGAAUUCUUCCUCCGCCCCGGGCGGAGGUCUGCACGGCACAACGACGGCGGGCCACCAUCACCAUCACCAUUGCCAUCAGCCAUUGCCGCCCGCCCAUUUGCAUGGCAGUCCCCUGGGCAUGGGAAUGGGCAGUGGGGCGGGUACGACAACGCAACCGAUACCGAUCGAGGGGCGGCUGCAGCUGAAGCUCGGCUACGAUCAGAAUACACUUCAGCUGAUUGUGACGCUGGUGUGUGCCACAGGCCUCUCACUGCGCCAGAGCGGAGCGGGCCGAAAUCCCUAUGCAAAAGUGUUCCUGCUGCCCGAUCGUAGCCACAAGUCAAAGCGGCGUACCAAGACGGUGGGCACCACCUGCGAACCACGUUGGGCUCAGACAUUUCUCUACUCGGGCCUGCGACGCUGUGAUCUUAAUGGACGACUGCUUGAGGUGACGCUGUGGGAUUAUGUGCGGUAUGGGGCCAACGAUUUCAUCGGCGAAGUGGUCAUCGAUCUGGCUCAUCAUAUACUCGACGACGAGGCCGAAUGGUAUCAGCUGCAGCCGCAUCAGGACACCUCCUAUCUCUUACGUGACGAGGGCAGCGAUGUGGACGGCCUGAUACUGACACCGACAGAUCAUUUAUCACCGCCGAGCACCAUGUCGCGUAUGAGCGACUCGGACACGACGUCCGACUGUGACAUCGAUGGAAUGACGCCGGUGGCCAGCAUCUCCUCGAUGGGAAGCUCGGCCAGUCCGCCGCCCAUGUUAGAGCUCGAUCUAAACGAGCGUCGAUCCAGACGCGACAUGUCACCGCAGGGCCGCAAACGUGUGGCCGGAAUGGUAGCCCGUGAUUAUCGCACUGUAUCUGGCAUUGGACAAAGUUAUCACAAUCAGGCAUCUGCCACGGGCUAUUAUCGACGCGGCGGCGGCGGUGGAAUCGGUGGUAAUGGUGUCGGUUCCUCCUGCAUCGGACCCGGUGGCAUGAGCCUCAGUCAGCGCAGUCAUUCGGCGGCACCCAACGACAGCUACCACAGCGGCGGUGUGGGCGGAGUGCCCACAGGUGUUCCAGGCUACGGCUAUAGGAGUACCAGUCCACGCAGAGGCUCAUUGUCGCCACCCGACGAUCGGUACAUAGACUAUCCAGUGCUUCCAGUACACGGCUCACCCAACGCACCCUCCGUUUAUCCGGGCACGGGUCCGGGCAUUGCAGCCACAUCGGCCACACAGCAGCAGAGAUUUCAGUCGCGCUCAGCCACAGCCACGCCGACAGGAUCGCCAAAGAAGAGGCAACUGCCACAGGUUCCUCAGACCUCACGUAGCGCCAUGCUGCGUGACCGACUGGGCCAGGACUUUGACGAGCGCCUGGCCUCGGGCAGUCGCUUUGGGCGUCAUCGCACACGCCAACCGCAUCAUCAGGCCACCUACCGCAGCACUGGCAUGGGCGGCUGGGAGCGCCACUACACGGGGCUGUCCGACAGCGAUCUGCACUCGAUGGACGCGCGGAUGAGGCCGCGGCACUCGCUCUCGCCGGACAAGGACUUUAUGGGCGAGUUCGGUGACUCCGAUAUGGAGUCUGUGGUCAGUGUGACGUCCAGCGCGUUCUCCACGCAGUCGGAAAGGCCGCGCACCUCGCGGGGACUCAGCUUCGCCCACAACUGGCGCAAUCUCUUUGGCGUACGCAACAGCUUCUUGGGUGGAGGAGCCAACGGCGGAGGACCCGUGACUGGACUCCGCAUGAUGCAUCCCCUGGAUGCAGCCCACCGUGCCAACACCAUCGAGGUGGAUGACUGUGACUAUCUGCCACACGUGGCGGGUGUCGGCGGCACACAGCAGCUGCUGCUGCUGGAGCAGCUCGAGCAGUUGCAGCAUUUGGCGGCCAUGGCGGCCGCCGAUUCCCCACCCAUUUCGGCGGGACUUGGACUCGGCGUUGGAAUGGGAUGUGGGAUGGGGAUGGGAGUACCACAACGUGUUCUGGUGACGGACGCCAAUAGCGGCGAACUGGUGGAGCAAUUCUUUGUGGAGCCAGCCACAGCCGCCGAGGAGACUUCGGUCAUUGAUCCGCUUGAUCCACUCGAACCACUCGAUCCUCAUGUGCAUUUGCAUCCGCAUUCCGUCUACUAUUCGCCUCAUUUGUCCUCAGCAGUCACCAACAACCACCAUUCGUCAUUUCUGACGCCCAACGACAUGUUCCAACGACGGUCCAACGGACAGACACCACCCGCCUCCGCCUCAGCCUCUGCCUCCGCCUCAGCCUUUGCUCAUGCCUAUCCGCUGCCGCUGCCACUGCCCAGUUUUGAGCAAUUCAAGCGCAUUACCACGCCCGUCAUGAAUCUCUUCCGCAGCUCCUCGCCCAUUCCCAAUGUCCACGCCCACGCCCAUGACCACGCCCACACGGUAUCCUCAUCGCCCAGCUCGUACGUGGGCUAUGUACGGGACCAUCUGGACAAGAGCUGCAGCCACUGCCAGAACGGCAGCCAGCCGGUGGUGCUCUCCACGAACACGGCCCUGGCCAUGCCCGGACUGACGAUCGGAGCCUGCACCGAUCCCUGCUGCCUGGUGGACUCGCAUCCGCAUCCGCAGCACCAACCGAUUGCGUACCCGUACAGUGCGGAGCAACUGCUGCGCCGCCCCUCGCUCUCCGCUUCGAUGUACCAGCCGAGCAGCUCGGAGCCCUCGCUGCCCACCAUGGACCCGGCAAUGUGCGGCGAGUGCGUCGACCAGCACUUCCUGGGCGGCCUCACCGGCCCCCAGGUGAACCUCGGCGCCGUGCCCACAUACCACGUGCACACGCCCACGCCGACCGCCCAUCGACGGGCCAAGGCGCAGCUGGCGGCGCCUCCGUCGCUGCCCACCCAGUCCGUGCUGCGUCUCUCGCGCCAGCUGAGCGAGGACGCCCUGGUGUCCGCCGUGCCCAUCUCUGAGUCGACGGCCAAGGCGCAGCCCACCUCGAUCCUGAAGAAGCCGAAAAUGGAGCGCCGGCGCAUGUUCCACGAGGGCCAGUCACGCUCCCUGGACUACGACGAUCUGCACAACAAGAGCUGGGGCCGUCGUCGCAUCCGCUACGAGGAUGAGGUGGCCCAACAUGAGGCGGCCGCCUAUCCCUAUCCCCAUUCCUAUCCGUAUCCACACUCCUCAACGUCCCCGGCAGAGGCACAGCUGCCCAUGUCGCGGCGCUACGGAUCCGAGACGAACAUCCGGCAGUCGUACAUGGGCGCCAAUGUGGAUGCCCACAAUCCGCUGAGCCACUCGCAUUUCCUGGUCACCGAUGACAAAAUCGUGACCAUCACCUAUGACUCGGACGUGGGCUGGACACGGCGUGGCGUGGCCCCAUCCCUUUUUCGUGGGCCGCACCGGCAACAGCGUGGAGCCAUGUCGCUGGAUCUGCAACGGACCAAUCAGCAGAAGCUUUACGGCCCGGCGGCGCCGUAUUUGAAGCGUCGGCGGAAUCUGCCGCAUCCGCCCAGUGCACAGAAUGCGCACAAUUUCUCGCCCAUGGAGGCACGGGACGGUGGAUCGACGGGGAUGGACUAUACACUGCCGCAGCAUGGUGGCGAGCAGCGGGGCGGUAACGUCGGAAUCGGAAACGGUAGCGGGGGCGGGGGCGGGGGCGGUGGUCAACACAACAAUAUGAACAGUAACAGUACCACACUCAACCAAUCACACCACAACCACCAAAAUCACACCACAGCCACCAACCACCACCUCCACCACAAUAGCCAACAACAACAACAACAAGCGAGUAGUGUUAGUGUUAGUCAAAGUCACAACAAAAAAGGGAAAGAAGGCAUCGCUAUCGGCGGAACGAUGGCAUCAUCGGAGCAACAGACGAAAUCUAGUAGUGGGAGCGGUGGUGCAACAUCUGCUGCCGCUGCUGGCAAUAUCGUCGUCGGUGGUAAUAAUGCUAAUAAUGCUUCUUCUUCCUCUUUUGCAAAUCCCCCACAACAACAUCAUGGUGUCGCCAAUCAACCAAUUACAACAAAUGCAUCACCCAACACCAACACGAACACCAACAUUAACAAUUACAACAAUUACAUGAACAAUAACAACAACCAAAACCGUGCCCAAUCAUCAUCAACACAACCACAACAACAACAACAAUUACAACAACCAAACACAAAUUCAACAACACCAAUGAACACAACAACGAAUGACGUGACUCAUGACGCAACAAAUCCCACACAACAACAACAAAAUACAUGCACAAAUCUCAUCAACAAUACAACAACAACAAUCACAACUUCAACAACAACAACAACAAACACAUCGUCGAAUGCAACGAAUGCGGCGACAACGACGACGACAACAACAACGACAACUGCAACAACAACAACUGCAACUGCAACAAAUGCUACAACAACUGCCACAAAUCCAACAACGAAUACAAAUACAACAAAUAAUACGAACGAUACAAACGCAACAACAACGAACGAUGCGGAUGCGGACGCGGAUGCUCCGCUCGAUGCCAUCGACUGGGAUGCAAUCGACGCCAUGUUGGAUGACGACUUCAGCGAGUACGACAAGGAGAAGAACGGCACUGAGGGUGGGGCCAAAUCCACGGAAGGUGGCGCCGAGGGAGAAGAUAAAGCUGAUGGUAGCCAAUCGGAUACCGCCAAUGAUCGAAAGAAAGGCGGCACCGUGGACCAGGAACGCUCGCCCAAAGGCGGCAGCGGCAUGGGCAAGAAAUCCAAUUCCACAUCCCAGCUGUCCGCAACAGGUCGUAAAAGACGUAUGGGCUUUGGAAAGAAGGGUAAGAACUCGUUCACGGUGCAUCGCAGCGAAGAGGUGCUGCCCGGUGAUAUCACGCGGGAGCUGCGCGGUGGCGGUGGCGUUGGCGUCGCUGGUGCCGGUGCUGGUGGUGCCAGCGGUGCUGCCGGAGGCGGUGGCGGUGGCCUAUCGCGUGGCUCGUCCUCGGAGGCGGAUGCCAUUGAGCAGUUUUUCGGCGAUGGUGCCGGUGGGGAAAGAUUCUCUCCCUCGUUGCGCAAUGAUGGAGCCCUCAAUGAGUUUGUCGAGGGCCUGGGACCAGGACAACUGGUGGGUCGCCAAGUGCUGGGUGCACCCUCACUGGGCGACAUUCAGCUAUCGAUGUGCCAUCAAAAAGGCUUUCUAGAGGUGGAGGUCAUACGAGCCAGAGGUUUGACGCAAAAACCCUCAUCGAAGAUGCUGCCCGCACCGUAUGUAAAGGUGUAUCUGGUCUCGGGCAAGAACUGUGUAGACAAGAUGAAGACUUCGACGGCGCGUCGCACCCUGGAUCCACUCUAUCAGCAGCAGUUGGUGUUCAAGCACUCCUAUGCUGGUUGCAUACUCCAGAUAACCGUUUGGGGCGACUACGGGCGCAUCGAGAAGAAAGUGUUUAUGGGCGUUGCUCAGAUAAUGCUUGAUGAUCUGAAUCUGUCGAAUAUCGUGAUCGGCUGGUACAAGCUCUUUGGCACCACCUCACUGACACCGAAACACCCACAACCACCACAACCAUGAGGCCAACAACAACAACAACCACAACAACAUCAAGAUCCACAACAACAGCAAUUUGCAUUGUAUGCUGAAAAGCUGAAAUGAACAAUGAAAUGUUGAAUAUGAAUAUGAAUAUAUAAAUAUAUAUCCUAUCUCGCAAAAAGUCACCAUAAAUCUACUGUUACUACAACGUAGCUUUCACAUAGACUCGUUCAAUACUCAUAUAGGGUCGUCCGAUUGUUUGGGCCGGUGAAUCAGUCAUAAUGGAGGAGCCGGGUGAAUAACACUUUUCAACACAAACAACACCAUGACCAACAACAAGAAAAACAACAACAACAACUACUACAACAACAACCAACACCACAACGAAAACACUUUAAGCACCCAAGCACAAUUCCAAUACCAAAAGCGAACUUAAAACUGAACUGAAUUCAUAACCCUUGCAAAGAGCUGCCAGCCAGGCAGCCAAAUAGCAAAGGACCAAGGUCAGCCUGCAGCAGCGGAAGCAACGCGGCCGCCGCCCGAUGAUACCCAUACGUCAUGUUGCUGGCCUAAGCUAAGUCCAAAAUCGGAAUUUUUUCUAUUCUACAACCAAUGGAGAGGGAGAUUUUCAAAGAAAAAUUAAGAAAAAAACACGACAAAAAACGAUGAAAGAGAAAAAAAUAUCUAAUUUUUGUAUGUCAUGAAAACAAAUGCAUUUAACGAACCGAGAACCGAGAACCGAGAACACAAGAGCAGAGCAGUAAAAUGAUUAAAACUAUGGAAAACCCAGAUACAAGAUAGAUAUAUAUAUAUACGAGUACAUAUAUAUACAUACAUUUACACAAACAUACAUACAUAUAUAUAAUGGAUAACAUAUGACAAAAAAAAGGAUACUUGUAAAUUAUGCAUAUUUAAAUUAAUUUUUACUACACACCUAAGAUCACUAUUAUUUUCGUAAUACGAUUACUACGAUUAUUAUUACCUAAAAAAACUAUUAUUGAUAAUCGAGAGUUAAAAGAGGAGCAGAAAAAACCAAUAACCAAAGAGAGAAGAGAUAGUAAGAAGAGAAUGUGCUGUCAGACAUGCCUAAGCCAACGCUUAAGCUUGAGCAGCGUGUGGAAAGGUGGAUAUAAAAUGUUUAUUUAAUAAUUAGCUAAAUCUAAAUCGAAAAUCUGUAAGUACAAUUUAUAGAUUUUCACAAGAUGGCAGUUAUUUAAGUAUAUAUACAUAAAUCUAUAUAUAUAGUAAAUAUAUUUACAGAUUAAGCAAGCAAAGAACCACUAACACUUAAAUAAGCCUAACUUACGAUUAAACCUAAACUUAAAGUUAAAGUUUAAGGUUUGGGUAACUACAAAUGAAAUGGGAGAUUAAUUCUAGAGAUGUAUGAGAUGAUGAUAUGUGUAUUAAUCGAACAACAACAACCACAAAUAUUUACCAAGCGAGAGAUGAGCAAGUUUAACUUAAUACAAAUUCUCAACUUAAGCUGUACAUAGAAUCGAUCCACACACACCCACACACUUACACUUUGAAUAUACACACACAACAUCCGGACUUUCGAUUGUCGAUUGUCGUGAUCUUUAUAGGCUUUAUAGAUAUUAUUUAGCUCUACGCUCCGGCAAAAACUCCACAGCAAACCCCAAAAUGUGCGAGUUUUUGCUGGCUAGCGAUGGGCCCACAGCUAUGUAUUCAUAUAAUUUUAACUAGAUCAAAUGAGAGGACAACUCUCUCUCUCACACACACACACACACACACACACACACACAAACACUCUCUCUAUCUCUCUCUCGAUAUAUAGACACAUACUACUAUAUACUAUCAAGCGAUUUUGUUGUAGCUGCCCGCGCUUCACCUUUAUCACGCUUCUAGAGAAUCGCUAUAGACUCCGUUUGCGCCGACUCGGUUCCAAUCAAACUUGCCUCUAACAAACGCAAAAAAACGCAUCAAGUACCUUCAAGUUAAUAGUGUGAGCUGUAAAAAUCGUUACCUGCUUGCCAAAGACACAUUACAUUAACAAACAUAAACACAUAGCGUCGUAACACAUUAGCAUAAAUGGAAAACAGUAAUAGGAAAAAUUGAUGGGAAGAAGGAAAGAAAAACCAAAGAUAGUUUGCAAUUUAAUAUUAUCUACAUUUUAGUUUGAGAGUUGUUCUAUUGGUGUUCUUUUGGUGCAACAUUUUGCAAUGCAUUCCUAGGAGGAGGAGCACUGGACUCCGCAAUUGGUUCACUUUUAAGGAAACAUAUCACAGGCCUGGCACAGAGACAGAGUGAUGGAUGGGAGCAGUUUACUUUUAUACAUACAUACAAUAUAUAGUAUACUCGUAUUAGGACUAUAGUCAAUGAAAUAUUAUAAUAAAUAUACGAGAAACGUAGCUAUUGUUCCUAUCCAGUUAUGUAAUGUUCGUAAUGUUCUUUUUUGCUUUCACUCAUGGCUACGGAUAUUGAUUUGAACCUUUCCGUCCAUUCAUUCAGCUUUCAACAAACACACAACAAGAUAAAGUUAAAUAUAUAAAAUACAUUGAUAGGUGCAUAUCCAUCCAAGCAGCUGCAGCUUCCUAUAUCAGAAUUACGACAACUACACAGAUACGUAAAGAAUUUGCCAAACUACCCCAGAAAGAAUGCAUUCAAAAUGUUGCCACAACAAGAACUUGGAAAUGCCACACAUUAAACGAAAAGUCAGAAGAUGAAGAUGAAGAAAAGAGAAGAAAAAAAUCAACUACCAGCGAGGUUUCCAGCAACUAAUUAUACGAUAUAUAAAUCAGAGAUACAUACAUGAAAAAAAACAUACAGACAUUAUAGAUUAUCAGAUUUGUACACUCCACUCCGAAAGUCACGAACUUCAUACGAACUUUUCUAUGAUAAAAACUCUCUCUCUAUCUCUAUCUUUAUCUUUGUAUUGUUUCCACUUUUGCUCUCCUUCAGCAAACAUUCGAAGAUGCUUUAAUUAAUCAGCAAAUCAACAAAGAAUAUGAACAGAAAGUGCAACAAACAGCGGCAAGAGCCGUAGUUGAAGUGCUCCUUCCGUUUGCAAUUGGAAUAAGACCAAAUUUUCUAGAGAAAUAAUUAGUUAAGAUACUCUUUCGGAAAGGGCAUUUCCUUCGUUGAGACAUAGAUGAAAAUUCUUAUUAGAAUUCCUCUAGAAUUCGUUACAUUUAAGUCACACAAAGGACAAAAGCAUAUAGAAAAUGUUACUGAAGCAAAUGAAGCAAAGAUAUAUUACGGCAAGUUAUUUCAAAGGGCAAACCAAAAAAAACAAGAAACAAAACAAAACAAAA